rnacentral:rRNA from 1 species
UAGGGAAUAUUGCACAAUGGAGGAAACUCUGAUGCAGCGACGCCGCGUGAGUGAUGAAGGACUUCGGUUCGUAAAGCUCUGUUGCAAGGGAAAAAGUUCUGAUUGUACCUUGUGAGGAAGGGUCGGCUAACUUCGUGCCAGCAGCCGCGGUAAGACGAGGGACCCUAGCGUUGUUCGGAAUCAUUGGGCGUAAAGCGGGUGCAGGUGGCUUUGUAAGUCAGGUGUGAAAUCCCAGGGCUUAACCCUGGAAGUGCAUUUGAUACUGCGAAGCUUGAGUGCUGGAGAGGUUACUAGAAUACCUGGUGUAGUGGUGAAAUACGUAGAUAUCAGGUGGAACACCGGUGGCGAAGGCGGGUAACUGGCCAGACACUGACACUCAGACCCGAAAGCGUGGGGAUCAAACAGG